GGAUACAAACAUGAAUUGUAAUUAGGAAUAAAAUGUGAAAAAAAAUUAAAGAAUAUAUCAGCAUCAAAAAAAGUUAUUGCUUGUGUUAUGAGAGCUUUCCUGCAUCUGUCCUUGUGGCAGUGGAGCUGAGCCAGUCUGUUAGAGAAGGUGCUCAGGAUCGGAUUGGAUUGAUGGAUAACAGCUUGUUCAGUGACCUCCUCUCCACCACAGCUUCAAAUGUGUCCAGUGUGGAGCCAAUCACAGAGCCAGCCUUUCUAAUCAGUUUAUUCAGUCUGUUUGGUAACCAACUCCAGUGCUGCUCCCCCAGCAGAGCACAGCAAAGUGCACUGCACUUGUCACAGAUGACUGACACCAUUUUGCUGCACACAUUAAAGGAUCUCGGCUUCCUUAAGAGUCUGUCUUGCUUUCUUUUGUUGUCUCUCUCUCUGUGUGUGUGUGUGUGUGUGUGUGUGAGUGAGUGAGAGAGAGAGAGAGAGCACAUCCCACACGGAGUAAAGCCCAAACUGAGACCUGACUUGUUUUGCCAAAGACCAAUCAUCCCGAUCUGCCUAAAGAGCAAGACUGUUACUUUGACAUGCCAAUCAUUUAAAAAAAUAAUGGAGGACUGUGUGAAGUAGAGGAACUUGAGCAUUUUUCCAAACAGCUGCAGAUGCUACAGUGUUAACAGCCUGAGAGGCAGCAGAGGCUAAAAGGCUGUAGAGGGUCAAUCUUGUUUCACAGGGCUAGUUUGUCUAUUCACAGUCAUAAAUAAAUGCUUUCUUCAGUCAUCUGUCUGUGUAAGGGCUCAGCCUUUACAACCAUUCAUCCACAUGACCAGGAGAGAUGUUAUCAUGCUCAGCAGAGCUUCAGGCGCUAACAGCAAGGAAAUGAAAAGAAGGGUUGUACACAGCACUGUGCACAAGUUUUACGCACAUGAAAAAAUACGCUUUAGGUGAAGACAAUUUUUUUUUUAAAUUACAGGAAAGAAUUUUUUUUCAGUGUUCUUUGUACAGAGUGCAAUAAACAGAAAGAACAUGAUAAAACAAAGAUACACUUGAUUGCAGUCAAGGGUCACUGCUCUGCAUUCUUGUUCUUGUCUUUUCAUACGACUUGCUUGCAUAAAGACACUUUCUGGUCAGACUCUACACAAGCGGCAGAUUUGUUCAUCAGGAUCCGAAACCGGUUUCUGCCACAAAGUCCGACCAGCUGCUGGAAGAUUUCCUGAAAGGGUGGUAAACCUGGUGUACUGUUCACCCUCUGCAGAAAGCUCUCACAGUCAACCAUCAGAUGUUUGUACAGCACAUCAGGAAGCACCUGCUUGUGUCUUCGAGAGAACUUAAUGUCUUUUGUGUAUUUUACACAUCAUAAUAUGUUUUAUCUGGAACUCUAAUGCAAUGAGACCAGUUGCAGGUUUCUUUGUAAUAAUACAAAAUAUAAUAUACAAUUUGGAAACUCCAAGUGCUUAUUGUUUAUACGUCGAUGCACGAUAGUGAAUCCGCAUGCAAUAUGCCGCCCAGUAUAAUAUCCAUCUUAUAUGAUUUGUGCAACAAUUUAUGACUGAAAUUUUGCAUUUACCAUAUCUGGUAUUUAUUAUGUAUGUAUUUAAUUACAAAACCUUACCAGAUAUACAUCAGGGUCUCAGGUAGUUGUGAGCUAGUGGAUGUGCUCUUGGGAAAAACACUGAAUCUCAUACUGCUGGGCUGAAUGAGGAGAACCACUGCAUCAUAACCAGUUAAAAAACAACAACUUCAUAAACUAUCCAUUUACAAAACUGAUAAUGAUGCGAACAAUUCUCUGAAAAUUCUCUGCAUUCUUUCGGUCCAUUGUCAUUGUAAAGAAAGCCUGUGGCUGGGCUCCUAGGCGUGGUAUGUAAGGCCAUGGGUAAAGUAAGAACUGACAAUUAUUCAGAUUUGCUCUGGCUUCGAUUAAAUGAAUAGUUCUGAAAAAAGUCUUACUUUAA